rnacentral:rRNA from 1 species
GACGAACGCUGGCGGCGUGCUUAACACAUGCAAGUCGAGCGGUAAGGCCCUUUCGGGGUACACGAGCGGCGAACGGGUGAGUAACACGUGGGUGACCUGCCCUCAGCUCUGGGAUAAGCCUGGGAAACCGGGUCUAAUACUGGAUAUGACUCCAUGACGCAUGUUGUGGGGUGGAAAGCCUUGUGCGGCUGAGGAUGGGCCCGCGGCCUAUCAGCUUGUUGGUGGGGUGAGGCCUACCAAGGCGACGACGGGUAGCCGGCCUGAGAGGGCGACCGGCCACACUGGGACUGAGACACGGCCCAGACUCCUACGGGAGGCAGCAGUGGGGAAUCUUGCGCAAUGGGCGAAAGCCUGACGCAGCGACGCCGCGUGAGGGAUGACGGCCUCGGUU